GUCUUGCAUCUUGGAGUUUGCUUGUUUUUGUAAUCAUUUCUGUGAUCGCAAAAUCCUGGAGGGUCUGUGUGUGAGGACGUGACAGAGCUGGACAGACUAAAAGACUGAAGUGGCGCUGCAGUUCUAUUAUUCGGCACUCCAAAGUUACUGUUGGAAAGGGUCGAAGGGGAACCUGGAGCCAAUCCCGGGCAUCGGGCACAAGGCGGGGUAAACCCUGGACAGGUAACUCCUGCAUUCCUUCACAACUUGGGACUUGAUCCAGGAAUCUCAGCCCCACACACAUUAAACCACUGAGCCCUGGAUGCUGCCUGGAUGAAUGAAUGAAACACCCUUGUUGGGGUUCAAUGCCUGAUUUCCAGUACCACUAACACAAACACCCUCACCAACACAGUGAGCCAUAGUUUCUGACUGAUAGCACAACUAUUUUUGUGCAUUUAUCUUUCACAGUCUUGAUGAUUGAGGGAAAAUAAAAGACAGCGAGACUUGAACCACUGAGCUCAGCAACAAGAGACAAACACUUUCCCACAAAACCAUGGAGCUUCACGAGGAGCAGUCUGUUUAUCCUAAAUAUGGACAGACCGCAUCUGACAUCCUACAACCUCCUCAUCCACGACUCAUAGCACAGUGCUUGUCUGCUCUGGUGGCUCAUUGAGUAGGUACGCAUGUGGUUCACUAUGAGAGUCACAGUUCAAGACUCUGCUCGUCUUUCUAAGCACUCAUCCUUGAGAAGGACAAACACCUGUAGUGAAUUGGCUUUCGUGCAGAACCUUUGGCGUGGAAGGAUGAAGCAGAGAUCAGAGUGCCUCUGGUGAGUUUGAGUAGAUACUCCUGAUAAAGCUAGUAUAAAGCCAGCACAUAAGAUCUUAAAUCAAAUCUGAGGAGUAAAAACUGUAUAGUGGGCUGUCAGGCUUUUAGUUAAAGAGAGAGAUUUUUGACGGGUCUGGUGUUUCCCAAAGAAACGACGGCUCAAAUAACAACACGUCUUACCUUUCCUUCACGUCUCUCACACUGCAACACGUUACAUUUACGAGACAGUCAACAACAACUUAAAAGUUGUAACUUAUAAGUUACUACUUAUAAACGUGCAAAUAAACUUUUUUGUUCUGCUCUACCUUGUGACACCAAUCUUACAUCCGUAACAAGCAGCACAUCGAGCAGGCUACUAAGCAUUUUUUUUUUUAAAUGGGAAGUUGUUUGCCAUCUAUGCAAACGAGAAUGGCCGUCUAUUAAAUUGAAGCACAUCAAUUUAGAAUAUGGAUUUGUCAACGUCUGUUUAGUACACGAAAGUGUGAGAAAUACCAAAUGUCUCAUGUGUCCUGGUGUUUCUUAGAACUUGGUCUACGCACGCUUUGAUAAAGGAGACCCCUGACUGGAUAUGAUCAAAGGAAGCUACAAAUCCAGCGUGUACGCUGAACGGGUGGAUUAUUCUCAAUCUGGCACCACGGCCGUGUAUACAGACACGUUGUCAUGGGAAAUAAUUUUUCUUUUUCAAGUUACAAAUCAGCCAUUAGUGAGGAUGCUGCACUAGUGAAGAAACAUAGUGUUGGGUGUUUCUGAUAUCAUCCAUAAUAUCCAACCUUUUUUUUUUAAUCCCCAGGCCUGAAAAUGACCAAAAUAUUCCAGAUCAAUCUUAGAAACAGGACCCAGUUUGAUGGGAAGAUUUCAAACCUUGAGAAUGAACUUCUAACAGUGAGGUCAGUGAUUAUGUUAGAAUAUUUCAAUUACAGUUAUUACUACUAUAAGACAGGACAGACCUUAAUCUGUUCCUCGAGAGGGAAAAAAGACAGGAGGCAAGUUUCUGUCGGCCUAAACCCCUACAUGCUUUAUUUCAGUUCUAGGUGGCAUCGAGCUCGAGAGCUGGACGAGGAAAAAUACACACAGCGCCAAACACAAACGCAGGCUCCGCCCACACGUGCUCACACACACGCGCAAACACACACACACCCCUCCCUCCCUCACACAUGGGACGGGUCUGUGAACGUGAAUGGCAAAGGCUUUAAAUUAUCAGAAUAUGAGUCGAUCACUGAGCAAAUAGAAAAUGUUUAUGAUAUAGUAAGAAGAAAACAAACAAAAAAAAAAACUACAAAAGAAUGGAAAAAAAAAAACCAAAAGCUGUAAAAUAUCAUAGUUUACAAUAAUUCUUCACAUUCAAAGGCUUUACAUUUAAAAAACAAAAAAAACAAACAAACAAAAAAAAAAACAUACACAGCAAGGCCCUCGAACGUGACUUCAAUCCAAAUAUGAUUCUCAUAUAUUAGAAUUUAAAUAACACAGAGUAGUCGGGCCCCCGCACGGAGAAGAGCCCAAAUAACCUUAUACAAGAAUAAAAAUACAAAACCCGGAUCCAAGAGUCGCCUCGCCUCGCCUCACCGCACUCGCCUCAAAGUUCAUUAUUACAUCAACUAUACAUCACAGUCAUCAGUUACCAACCAGGAAGAGGAGACACACACACACACACACACACACACACACACACAUAUAUACACACUCAUAGUCAUACACACGUUCAUCUCCUUCCUGUUAAAAACGCCCAAGUUAAAGAAGGAACUACAUGUGCUCACAUACACACUCUCAGGCAUCCAAUCAUAUCCAGACACUCACGUCUCCACUUAGGCGUGCACACACACACACACACACACACACACACACACACACACACUCCCAUUGCAGAUGAUUUGAAGCAAAAAAAAAAUAAUAAUAAUAAAAUAAGAACUGAAAAUCAGUCGCACUAUUGGCUCAGGGCCUUGUGGGAGGAGGGGG